CGAACGCUGGCGGCAGGCCUAAUACAUGUAAGUCGAACGGCUCUUCGGAGCAGUGGCGGACGGGUGAGUAACGCGUGGGAAUGUGCCCUUUGGUACGGAACAACACAGGGAAACCUGUGCUAAUACCGUAUGUGCCCUUCGGGGGAAAGAUUUAUCGCCAUUGGAGGCAGCCCGCGUUGGAUUAGGUAGUUGGUGAGGUAAAGGCUCACCAAGCCUACGAUACAUAGCUGGUCUGAUAGGAUGACCAGCCACACUGGGACUGAGACACGGCCCAGUCACCUGCGGGAGGCAGCAGUAGGGAAUCUUGCGAAAUGGGCGAAAGCCUGACGCAGCCAUGCGGCGUGUAUGAUGAAGGUCUUAGGAUUGUAAAAUACUUUCACCGGGGAAGAUGAUGACGGUACCCGGAGAAGAAGCCCCGGCUAACUUCGUGCCAGCCGCCGCGGUAAAAC
rnacentral:rRNA from 1 species